rnacentral:rRNA from 1 species
UGACCUGCCUCGAAGUUUGGGAUAACAGUUCGAAAGGACUGCUAAUACCGGAUGUGAUCGCGGAGAUUAGAGGCUCUGUGAUUAAAGGAGAAAUUCGCUUCGAGAGGGGGCCUGCGUCCCAUCAGCUAGUUGGUAAGGUAAAGGCUUACCAAGGCGAUGACGGGUAGGGGACCUGAGAGGGUGGCCCCCCACAAUGGAACUGAAACACGGUCCAUACACCUACGGGUGGCAGCAGUAGGGAAUAUUGCAUAAUGGCGAAAGCCUGAUGCAGCAACGCCGCGUGUGCGAUGAAGGCCUUCGGGUCGUAAAGCACUUUUGGAGGGGAUGAGGAAGGACAGUACCCUUCGAAUAAGCUUCGGCUAACUACGUG